AGUGAACGCUGGCGGUAGGCCUAACACAUGCAAGUCGAACGGCAGCACAGUAAGAGCUUGCUCUUACGGGUAGCGAGGGGCGGACGGGUGAGGAAUACAUCGGCUUCUACUUUUUCGUGGGGGAUUACGUGGGGCAACUUACGCUAAUACAGCAUACGACCUACGGGUUAAAGCAGGGGAUCUUCGGACCUUGCGCGAUUGAAUGAGCCGAUGUCGGAUUAGCUAGUUGGCGGGGUAAGGGCCCACCAAGGCGACGAUCCGUAGCUGGUCUGAGAGGAUGAUCGGCCACACUGGAACUGAGACACGGUCCAGACUCCUACGGGAGGCAGCAGUGGGGAAUAUUGGACAAUGGGCGAAAGCCUGAUGCAGCCAUACCGCGUGGGUGAAGAAGGCCUUCGGGUUGUAAAGCCCUUUUGUUGGGAAAGAAAAGCAGCAGGUUAAAACCCCGCUGUUCUGACGGUACCCAAAGAGUAAGCACCGGCUAACUUCGUG
rnacentral:rRNA from 1 species